rnacentral:rRNA from 1 species
UACGUAGGGGCUAGCGUUGUCCGGAAUUAUUGGGCGUAAAGAGCUCGUGAGCGGUGUGUCGCGUCGGUCGUGAAAACUUGGGCUUAACCCUGAGCUUGCGGUCGAUACGGCAUCACUGAGUUCGGCAGGGAGACUGGAAUUCCAGUGUAGCGGUGAAAUGCGUAGAUAUUGGGAGAACACCAGUGGCGAAGCGGCUACCUGGACCGGAACUGACGCUGAUGCG